CCCAGACUCCUACGGGAGGCAGCAGUGGGGAAUAUUGCAUAAUGGGGGAAACCCUGAUGCAGCAACGCCGCGUGAGUGAGGAAGUAUUUCGGUAUGUAAAGCUCUAUCAGCAGGGAAUAAAAAAGAAGGUACCUGAAAAAGAAGCCCCGGCUAACUACGUGCCAGCAGCCGCGGUAAUACGUAGGGGGCAAGCGUUAUCCGGAUUUACUGGGUGUAAAGGGGGCGCAGACGGCAGCGCAAGCCAGGAGUGAAAGCCCGGGGCCCAACCCCGGGACUGCUCUUGGAACUGCGCGGCUGGAGUGCAGGAGGGGCAGGCGGAAUUCCUGGUGUAGCGGUGAAAUGCGUAGAUAUCAGGAGGAACACCGGUGGCGAAGGCGGCCUGCUGGACUGCGACUGACGUUGAGGCCCGAAAGCGUGGGGAGCAAACAGGAUUAGAUACCCCGGUAGA
rnacentral:rRNA from 1 species